AUUGAACGCUGGCGGCAUGCUUUACACAUGCAAGUCGAACGGUAACAGGCCGCAAGGUGCUGACGAGUGGCGAACGGGUGAGUAAUGCAUCGGAACGUGCCCAGUCGUGGGGGAUAACUACUCGAAAGAGUAGCUAAUACCGCAUACGAUCUAUGGAUGACAGCGGGGGACCGUAAGGCCUCGCGCGAUUGGAGCGGCCGAUGUCAGAUUAGGUAGUUGGUGGGGUAAAGGCUCACCAAGCCAACGAUCUGUAGCUGGUCUGAGAGGACGACCAGCCACACUGGGACUGAGACACGGCCCAGACUCCUACGGGAGGCAGCAGUGGGGAAUUUUGGACAAUGGGCGCAAGCCUGAUCCAGCAAUGCCGCGUGCAGGAAGAAGGCCUUCGGGUUGUAAACUGCUUUUGUACGGAACGAAACGGCUCUGGUUAAUACCCGGGGCUAAUGACGGUACCGUAAGAAUAAGCACCGGCUAACUACG
rnacentral:rRNA from 1 species